ensembl:lncRNA
AUGGAAAUAUUCUCUGCAUCCGGAGUGCUAACUGUGACCGAUGAGGAUCACCAGAACCACGAGUGUGGGUCUCUGGAAGGAUCUGCUCAUUUACCGACAAAAGGCACAGAUGAAAGGAAAAGAAGAACGACAGAGAAGCAGAAGAACAGAAAGCAAGAGGAAGAUGUUACAAAGCAGAAGAGCAAAGAUGGAUGUGGAGAAAAAGAGGUGAAGGAUGUAAGAAAUGCUGAAGAAAUGCGUACUACCGAUGCACAAACAGAUGGAACCGACAUGUCCGAGGGUGCCGAGGGGUCAUCAAACGCAGCAGGGGAGACCAGUGCCCCUGAAACAGAAAUAAGAGAUAAAGGAGAGCGAGAAUUGACAGAUGGAGUGAAAGAGGGAGGACAGACAGCAGAAAGUCCAGAAACACAGAUACAGGCUCUCAAAACCACUGAUAGGACUCAGAAGAGCCUCUCUCUGCAGGUCAAUGACUUCAUGGACACCGAGCCGCCUCUGGCUGUUUGUGAGUUUUCAAACUCCUCAAAAAAUCUGCCGCAGAUAAUCACCGACAAGCAUGCAGACUGUAACCGUCCAGGCAGGGAGCGCACAGUCGAUGGAAAAGUCAACGGAUUUGGUUUGGAUGAACACCAAAGUGUCAGCAGCGUGCCAGAACCUGAUGCUGAAGCUGCACACCCUGACUCACCUGUCGAGGUUCAAACUGUGCAUCAGGACCCCGAGCGCUCAGACCUGGAACACGAGAAAACAUCCACGGAAAUGUCCGGUUAUUUUCCCGCUGAAGGGCCAAGCCCAUGCACCUCUCAAACUCCGCAAAGCCACAACAUCCAAGAGAGCGAAACGAACCCAACUCAGACUGAACAUUGUGAUCCUCGUGCUGUUGUCGCCGUGGAGACAACAAAGGAAAUGUUUGGCGCGGAUGAGGAGAGCGUUUCAGUGACAAACAUGGCCGAAGCUCAAAGUCUCGAAGCCUCAGAGAAGCAGGAACGCGUGCAGCUCAGGUCUGUGGUGGAUGAAGAUGGAAGGAGUGAAAGCAGCACCUGUGAGUCUGCAGAGAGAGCUGCAGCAAAGGAGGACGUGGAGGAGCAAAGCAAAACUGAUCAAGGCUCAGGAGGUGGAGAGGGUACCAAAAAUGAUGCUGAUCCAAAGAUUUCCCAUCAGCAAAGUGGUGAAACCGCUGAAUCAUCAGAACCUGGAAGAUCGAAGAAUCAACCCCUAAAGCAGAAGAGACCUACCGAUUCUGCUGAGUUGUCGCAGAUCUCCAGGUCACUGUUUGACUGGACCGCUCAGAGGAAAACGUUCAGUGACUUCUCCGUCCUGCACGAGUUUACUCAGGGAACUCAUCUGUCUGGACGUCCGCUCGAUUCAGCCCCCGUGUUCUCCAAAACCAAACACGACAAAGCUCAGCAAAUGAUCACCAAGGCGUCGGACCUGUUCAGCACCUUCGGUGUCUCCGCGGCUGCAAGUCUCUCAAAGAGUCAACGGCGGGGGAGAGGAGUGAUGGAAGAGACCUGCAGAGAAACGGCAGAGAAGGUCAGUGCUUCUGAAGGGUAAAAGCUGCACAGACACACGUGCCGUGGUGUCUUUAUUAUAAAAAAACAACCCUGAGUUACUACAGCUGAGAUUAGAGAGUAAGCAGCAGCCUUGUGCUGCUAACUGAUCACCAGUAAGUCUGAGCUCCCAACUGUGCUGGUCUGGAGCAUACAGGUGUGUGUAAACUCAGUCAGAAGGUGGGAACUGCUCAUCCAUUAGGAAGAAAGGUCAUUUUCGAAAAAAUCUGGACUUAAUUCCAACAGCAGGUCUGGAUGUCCCAGCAAAUUCCAGGUCUAAACCUCCAGGUCAGAGGUCACUGUUCAGGGAAAGGACCGAAAACACCUCAAAAAGUCCAUCUGACGCCGGGCCGCUGAAGCGCCGCGAAAUUGGGGCCGCCUUCAUUCGGCGCCCUUGUUAUCCUACUCUAUAGACCACAUGGGCCGCCGAAGCGCCGUGCGCUCCAGCCCACGCCGUGCAGCGAUCGUUUCGGCGUCGGCUCUAUUUUUUCCGCGAGCCGCGGGUGAACCUUGUCGAUUCUGUCAGGAAGUCAAACCUAGACAUAAGAGGCAGGCCGGUAAAUUUAACAAAAUAAAGCAUUUCUAAAUACGAUUCUGCGAUAGUCCAAUGUGUUCAUAAACAGACGCUGCACACACACACACACACACACACACACACACACACACAGCGAACUUGUGUGUGUGUGACCACGUGAAGGGGGUGUGGUUUUGGGUGUCUUGCAACCGGAGCAAACAGGACAGAGAGGCAGAAAGUCGUAGGCCAGCUAUUAAUAACUGGUACACACCAGAGGUUCACACACACACACACACACACACACACACACACACACACACACACACACACACACACACACACACACACAAACAGAAAGGGGGAGGGAGGGGGGGGGUGUCGAGGAAAAGAGCAGAGAAAAGGCUGAGAGGAAAUGGACGACACCAAGUGGUUAAAAGAAAAACUACGAGGCGCGCCUCGACCGGAGCGAAGAAACAAGCGUCUGGUCUGAACUGAGGAGCAGCGGCCGAAUUUCGUGAGCGCUUCGCCUCCCGGCGCUUCAGCGGCCGGUGUAUCCCCGGCGUUAGAGUUUGCUGGACUCAGUUAGCAGGGGUAAGGUUAAAGUUCAUGACAGCAUGGUAUGGUUGCACUACUGGAGGCCAGUUCUUAAAGCUUUAGGUCAUUCUUUUUGUGUUGUUCCUCUAAACGGGAAUAAAAUGAAAUGUGAAGUUAGGAUGAUUUUUAAAAGGUUCCUUCACUUGUUUUUUCACCAACUCUGCUGGUGGUCUCUAGCUUGAGUGAAUGCCUUGUGAGUCGUUUCCUUUGGAAAAAAGCUCGGGCCCACCUGUUUCAUUUUUUGGAGGAGUGGGAGGGUUAACAGGAUUAUGAGUCUUACUCAUUAAUAUUCAUGAUACGCAACAUCUAGCCUCUGAUUGGCUAACAGCAACAAGACUCUUCCACUGCCUUCAUUCGCAACGAUGAUGUUUUAUCUCAAUAAAAAACACGUGCUUCAGCGUGUUGCGCCAUGUUGUGGAGUUGCAAAUGCUAACGGUUAGCUUCUGCUAGCUGAGACGCUCUGCUCCCUCCAUCCCGUAGAAGGGGCCAUGAGUAUUCCUUUUCCCAGUGACGUAGAAGAGGCUGGCCUUUUCUUACCCAAUAGUUUUCCCGUCUGUUUCCCUUUUGCGGCUGAUGGAGGCGAGGGGGGUUUGAAGAAAACGUUCACGUUCAGCGUGCGUGUGAAACAAUCUCAUUUCAGAAAGAACGUGUUUUACAGUUUCUCAGGGAAACAUAUUUUUAAGAAUGUUUUUUCUUUUUUGCAAAGCCCAAACAAACAUGUUAAACAGAAUUCUCAGUCGUUAGUUGAUAGCUAGGCUUAAAACAUUUUUAUUUGAUAGGGCCUAUGGUUAAAAUCUGAUGUUAGCCCAGAUCUGGACAAGAGGGGGAGUAGAGGGAGGUGGAGUGUACAGUCGGUAAAGACGGCUCUCCUUUGCCCUGCCUCCAACAUGCCUCCAUCUAAAUAGGAUAGAUUAUCCAGAGUUAUCUCUGUAGUUAUGCUGCUAUAGGCUUAGACUGCUGGAGGAUACACUGACCACUUUUCACACUCGACUGCUUUCUUCUACAAUCUGCUCUUUAACUGUAUUAUUUCCUGCUAUUUCAGCUAUAAACUUUAUUUUCUCUCUAAGUGUUUUCUCCCCAGAAGAAGCUACAAUGAUGUUCUGCUGAGCUGUGGUGGCCUCAUGGAGGGGGCCGUCGUCUAGCACACUGCUGUUAACCACUUAAACAUUCUCCCUCUCCUGAUAAUAACUUUUUGUUUUCAUUGACUUUUGAUGUGCUACUACUAGUUUACCCGUUUAAUUAUAGAUUCACUAGGAUAAAUACAAUAAAGUUUAUCUCUCACCAAAUAGAAUAUUUACUAAGACAUCACAAUAUAACUAUAGACACAUUACUUGUCUUUGUGUGUGUGUGUGUGUGUGUGUGUGUGCGUGUGUGUGUGCGUGUGUGCGUGUGUGCGUGUGUGUGUGUGUGUGUGUGUGUGUGUGUGUGUGUGUGUGGNNNNNNNNNNNNNNNNNNNNNNNNNNNNNNNNNNNNNNNNNNNNNNNNNNNNNNNNUGGAGGUUUCUUCCUGUUAAAAGGGAGUUUUCCUCUCCACUGUCGCUAUAUGCUUGCUUAGUAUGAGGAUUGCUGUAAAGUCACUGACACUCGUCAGUGACUCGAUGCAAUUUGCUGGGGUCCUUAUAUAGGAAACAUUAUUUCUGAUUGGCUUAAUGAACUGACCUGGAUUGGAAUGUUUAUUAUGUGAAGUGCCUUGAGACGACUCUUGUCGUGAUUUGGCGCUAUAUAAAUAAACUUGAAUUGAAUUUGUUUUGAAUGUUCUCUUUGUCUGAGGCCUACUAGGUCCUGUGUUGAGUGAAAAAGCAUAGCUGAUCCACGUUGAGCUCAUAGUUGUCCUGUAACAGUCAGACAGGCAGAGAACGAAUGAUCUGUGGUUGAAAAUCCACCUAAUGAUGCUCGGGUACCGCUCCUCUCCCACUUACUCCAUCUCAAUCUGUCCCACUCUCCCCUCUCACUUCAUCAUUUGUCUCUCCACCCUUUUCUACCAUUUUCACUCUCAUUUUCUUUUGUCACUUUGCUGUCAUUCCAUGUUUUACACGAUCCAGGUGCUGGCAGUUGAGGGAGAAAAGCCCUGAUCCGAUAGUUGAACUAACGGCGGUGACGGCCGAAGCGUUUCAUUCUGUCUGCGGAGCGGAAACGCUGGGAGCGUCACGCAGAGUUCAGUCUGAGCCAGUCUGGCUCCUGUUACGUAUCAUUUGCCCCUGCGCUCGGCCCGAGCUCCAUCUGUUUAUCACAGUUACAUUUCCUCAAGAGGCACAGAAAAAUCCCCAAACCUUCAGCUGGUUUUCCACUACCAGCAGGCAGAACGCUGAGACGGCAGAAUCAGAGUUUUACUGUCUUUUGUUGUUGUCAUCCUCAGGACAGAACAUCUUCAGUGCUUUCCAUCUCCAGUUCUGCCAGUCAAGCCUCACAGCAACCCAGUUCAGAGUGAGUUCAGAGACACACACGAUGUUGAGAUGUCAUUUCAGCUGACGUUCAAAGACUCUAACAUUACACCAGAUUAGGUUUUAAAUAGUUUAAAAUUCAUUAUCGCCUGUAGAGCCACUGAGCUUUUAAAAAUACAUGACAUCAUUUCCUGUAGUUAGAUUUUUGGACAUUCAACAUGGCCGCCCUUUUAGCUCUGCUGUUGCAUCAUAUGUAAAUAUAUAACUAGUUUUUUCUUUUCUAAAUCUGAUGUAGCAGGACUUCCUGCUCACCUGUUGCUCCUGGGUCAGAGUUGGACCAGGAACCUUCCUGUUCCCUGGAGAGGGAUGACCAGCAGUCAUCACUGAGAGCACAGAUUUCCAAAAUCGAAGCGUUCCUCAACACAGAGAGGCUCCGACUGCCUAAAAGACGUCGGAUUGAGUCGCCAGACGUAUCCGGUUCUGUUCUAUGAAAUGACACAAGAGCCUACUGUUCCACAAGUUUGAUCAUUUUCAUUACCUUUAAACCCUCCAAAAGUUUCCCUUUUGUUAUAAAAAAGAUCUCAUGAUGACUGUGAGCUCUUCAGGUUUCUCUUCAGACUUCAGUUUGAGUCAGACUGACCCUUGGUUUAGAGUUCCUGUCCAUUUUGCAGCCUUACAGAUCAAAUAUGAGCUGUUGGGUGUGUGUGUGUGUGUGUGUGUGUGUGUGUGCGUGCGUGCGUGCGUGCGUGCGUGUGUGUGUGUGUGUGUGUGUGUGUGUGUGCGUG